rnacentral:rRNA from 1 species
CGGAAAGACCCUUACCUUCUCGGGUGGAACGCGAAGAACCUUACCAAAUCUUGACAUCCUUUGAUCGCUCUAGAGAUAGAGUUUUCCCCUUCGGGGGACAAAGUGACAGGUGGUGCAUGGUUGUCGUCAGCUCGUGUCGUGAGAUGUUGGGUUAAGUCCCGCAACGAGCGCAACCCUUAAGCUUAGUUGCCAUCAUUAAGUUGGGCACUCUAGGUUGACUGCCGGUGACAAACCGGAGGAAGGUGGGGAUGACGUCAAAUCAUCAUGCCCCUUAUGAUUUGGGCUACACACGUGCUACAAUGGAUAAUACAAAGGGCAGCGAAACCGCGAGGUCAAGCAAAUCCCAUAAAAUUAUUCUCAGUUCGGAUUGUAGUCUGCAACUCGACUACAUGAAGCUGGAAUCGCUAGUAAUCGUAGAUCAGCAGCGAGUUUU